UACGGGGGGGGCAAGCGUUGUUCGGAAUUACUGGGCGUAAAGGGCUUGUAGGUGGCCAACUAAGUCAGACGUGAAAUCCCUCGGCUUAACCGGGGAAUUGCGUCUGAUACUGGAUGGCUUGAGUGUGGGAGAGGGAUGCGGAAUUCCAGGUGUAGCAGUGAAAUGCGUAGAGAUCAUGAGGAAGACCAGUGGCGAAGGCGGGUCUCUGGACAGUUCCUGACACUGAGACACGAAGGCCAGGGGAGCAAACGGG
rnacentral:rRNA from 1 species